rnacentral:rRNA from 1 species
GAUGAACGCUGGCGGCGUGCCUAAUACAUACAAGUCGAGCGAAUGGAUUAAGAGCUUGCUCUUAUGAAGUUAGCGGCGGACGGGUGAGUAACACGUGGGUAACCUGCCCAUAAGACUGGGAUAACUCCGGGAAACCGGGGCUAAUACCGGAUAACAUUUCGAACCGCAUGGUUCGAAAUUGAAAGGCGGCUUCGGCUGUCACUUAUGGAUGGACCCGCGUCGCAUUAGCUAGUUGGUGAGGUAACGGCUCACCAAGGCAACGAUGCGUAGCCGACAUGAACGGGUGAUCGGCCACACUUGGACUGAGACACGGCCCAGACUCCUACGGGAGGCAGCAGUAGGGAAUCUUCCGCAAUGGACGAAAGUCUGACGGAGCAACGCCGCGUGAGUGAUGAAGGCUUUCGGGUCGUAAAACUCUGUUGUUAGGGAAGAACAAGUGCUAGUUGAAUAAGCUGGCACCUUGACGGUACCUAACCAGAAAGCCACGGCUAACUACGUGCCAGCCGCCGCGGUAA